GCCUUCGUGGUGUAAUGGUCAGCACACUCGGCGCGUAUUCUGGAGGUCCGAGGUUCGAGUCCCGGCAAUGGUA
rnacentral:tRNA from 1 species